rnacentral:rRNA from 1 species
CUGGGCUGCUCCUGACGCUGAAGGCGAAAGCCAGGGGAGCAAACGGGGAUUAGAUACCCCCGGUAGUCCUGGCCGUAAACGUUGGAUGCUAGGUGUGGGAGGAGAUAUUCCUUCCGUGCCGAAGCUCACGCGUUAAGCAUCCCGCCUGGGGACUACGGCCGCAAGGCUAAAACUCAAACGAAUUGGCGGGGGCCCGCACAAGCAGCGGAGCGUGUGGUUUAAUUCGAUGCUACACGAAGAACCUUACCUGGGUUUGACAUGCAGGUGGUAGGGAUCCGAAAGGUGACCGACCCGCAAGGGAGCCUGCACAGGUGCUGCAUGGCUGUCGUCAGCUCGUGCCGUGAGGUGUCGGGUUAAGUCCCGGAACGAGCGCAACCCCUGCCUCUAGUUACACGUAUCUAGAGGGACUGCCCGGGACAACUGGGAGGAAGGUGGGGACGACGUCAAGUCAGCAUGGCCUUUAUGCCCAGGGCUACACACACGCUACAAUGGCCGGGACAAUGGGUUGCCAAGCCGUGAGGCGGAGCCAAUCCCCCAAACCCGGUCUCAGUUCGGAUUGCAGGCUGCAACCCGCCUGCAUGAAGCUGGAGUUGCUAGUAACCGCGUGUCAGCCAUGGUGCGGUGAAUACGUUCCCGGGCCUUGUACACACCGCCCGUCACGUCAUGGGAGUUGGCAAUGCUUGAAGUCGGUGUGCUAACCCGAUACCGGGAGGCAGCGGUCGAGGGCGGGGGUGGUGACUGGGACGAAGUCGUAACAAGGUAACCAAGCCGAAUUCUGGCGCUCUGGCUCGCCGUUGCUGGUGGUUGC